CUAGCAUGUGAAGCUCUCGUAGUUAAAUCGUGCGAAGGCGAAAACUUCAAAUCUUCUUGCACGUAUCUUUUCUUCGAAUAAUAAGGAAGAUAGAAUGUCGAUCUCAGAUUUCCGCAAGAAGAAACUUUUGUUCCUGUUCAAUGUAUUUUUUGAUGUGAAUCAAAGCGGCGAAAUUGAUGUGAAGGAUUUUGAAUUGGCCAUUGAGGUA